GCUUAUACUUGUAAAUAUUGAAAUAUUUCGGUUGUUUCGGUAGUUUUUAUUGAAAUUUUUCAGCAUAAUCAGCAAUAUGAUACCUUACUUCCCAUCAUCCCCUGCAGGCAUAAACUAAAAGCUGGAAUUGCCUAUUAAUCGAGUUAUUGGGCGCACGCGAGAAGUUGGGAGAGCACGAAAAGAGUAUCAGAGUUUGAGGCGCUAACUCGAUUGAGCAAGCCAAAUCAUGAAAAAAUUCUUUUAUAUAACAAUAUUUUAUCAAAAUACAAGACUAGUAGUUUUCUUCCUGAUGAAAUUUCAAUUUCUCCUAACAGAAACAAAAUACGAAAAGGUUUCUGAUUGGUCGCGAGAAAAUCGGCUGCUCGGGCAGCUCGACAUUGCCAGCUUGCCAAUGCAAGUGCAUGGGGCUUCAAAAACUGACGAUAAUUGAAAUUUUGAUAAUUUAGAGAUUUGGUUUUAUUGGUAAAAAGGGAGCACACAGUUAAUUGUAUUUAUCAUUGAGUCGUGGUCUGACUCUGUUUAUGUUUUUUUUAGUAUUUGGAUUUUUAUUUAUUUUGCACUGGUAUAACCUAUCCUGGAAACUGUACCAUAUUUUAAUGUGUCCAGGAUCCAACUAGUUUUGCCGUUUUAGAAGUAUGUUUUUCUCACAUGUUUCUGCCGAACAUUGUGGCGAACACGGUAAAAAGAACUCUUUUUCUUUGACUUUGCGAUGUAUACAGUACGAGCAUAUAUGGGCUUUAUCCCUGGCUUUUAUAUGUCAAAAGUAAAUGCCCGAGUGUUUUUAUUUAACAAAUUAUAUUUUAUAAUUGAUUAAAAACAAUGAAAAGUUUUGUGAAAAUUCUCGAGGAAAUGUUUCCCAAAACAGAGACAGGAAUUUUCUGCCGUGCUCAAUCGAGUUAUUGAGCACGCAUUUCAGUUCUUGUAUAACACAUAAUUAUAAUUUGUGUUUUUAACUAAUUGCAUGCCAUAGAAAAUUUUGUGUUAGAAAUAAUUCGUAGUUAAGACGUAAGUUGUGCUGUGGUCAAAAAGAGUUAGCCUUGGCUUAUACUUAUAAUAACAUUGCUAUCAUUAAGGGUCACUGACUAUGGCCGCCUACGUUUGUGUCAUUUAUAUAAAACUUUAUAUAAACAAAACUUAAGUUAAGCAAUAAACUGUAUAAUAUCAUGAUUGCAGGUAUUCCCUUUGUUCUCGCAGGGCAAUUAAUAACUAAUACACCUCAUUAUAUUCAUUUUUUCUAAUCCUACUCGCUUUUACGUCAUGUCAGGUAGAAUUAGUUCUAAUCCUACCCGAAACGACGUCAAAGCGGGUACGAUUAGGGUCAAGCGGGUACGAGCGGGUACGAUUCGGGUCAUUUAGUAAAAUUCCCUCGGGCCUUCGGGAAUUUUACUAAAUGACCCUCAUCGAGCGGCGCCCAAGGGAAUUAUACUAAACGACCCUCAUCGGGCGGGACGUUUUAAUAGCUAAUUCGCUUCUUUUUAUGCUAUUACUUAUAAGUAUUCUUUCUUCUUUUUUUCUCCUCUGCUUCAGAAUAUCAAAAUUGAAACAAAAGAUCCAGUGAUUCUAUAAAUGGUCAGGCAAGAACCAUUUUUUUGCGCAUUUUAUAUAGCACGUUUUGUAAUGCGCAGAACUCCGUAAAUUCACCUCCCAAAAUGCAGGAAAUGGGAUUUCUGGGUGUUUAGACUAAUGGUGGUGGUGG
rnacentral:lncRNA from 1 species